GGCGCCGAGUGUCUCCGUGUCCCUCUGCCCCAGCCGGCGGCCGCGAUGGUGGAGCUUGGCCUCUCGCUCUCUCCCGCCUCUCCAGCGACUGCUCUGCCGGCCGCGGAGGUCGGAUCGAGCGGUCAUUCAUUCAUUUGUUAAUUCGUUCACUUAUUCAGGGGAGAUCAUUGAACCCCUACGGAGUACCGGGUACUGGGCCGGGCGCUGAGGACGCGGGGCUGAGCAAAAGCAGCCGAGGCCCACCUUCGUGCCCCUUAAAACCCAGCGUGCGGGGCGGCAACGAGUACUGCUUUUCUGUUUUGCACUUAAAAUUUACAUUUUGCAUCCGUACUUUUUAUUUACUGUGCACCCUUACGGCAUGCUUUACGCACCCGUACCUGCACCUCCUAGCCUUGAGUGUAGACACCAGAUCCUGAGAUGGGCGAUUUUUCGAGAAUAAUUUUUACCCUAAGUGGAUUUUCGUGCCACGCAUGGACUUGGAACUACACACACGUAGUCCAAAACGUGAAAGUCAAAAUGCAGCUUUGCCAAGUGGCAGGGAGAAAGGAGAGCUGAGAAGAUGAGGAGAGGAAGGGCGCGCUCCAGGCUUUCCAGCCCGGGUGCGGUAGACGUAGCCCUGAAGGAUGAACCCAGGCUGGUAGUAGGGCGGCGGGAGGGCGGGGGGACCUGUCAGUCAAGUCCAAAGCAGAAACGCGGCGCCGGAUCCCAGUCAGAGGCCGGCUGGAACGCUUCCCACAGGCUCCUGGCGCUCCGGUCCCCACCAGGCGACCUUGAUCCUGGCGUGCUCAGCGGAGCCAGCGCAGCGUCGGGAGCUGGAGAGACGCGGGGCGCCGGCUGAGCGCUCCUGCCCUCUGCCUCUGGGCUAGCCUCUGGCCCGGCCUCCCGGCCUCCCCCAGGGUACGCUCUCCCCCAAGAGCGAACACCAGCUUUGGGAUCGCCAGCAGCCACGUCUCUGCUUCUAGAUCUCUUUUUUUUUUCUUUGAGACUUAGUUGAUAGCUGUUUAAGGAAUUAUGUGGAGGAAAUCUCACCUCCGACCCCCGCCCCCGUUGAGCACGGCCGGCCAGGGUCGCUGGGUGGGCCAGGAGGAAAGAAAGGGGCGGGGAAGAAGCAGCAAUUUUACUUUAAAUUAAAAUGACACAAAAAUAUUUUUUCAACUCAGAUCUUUCUGAGACAUCCCCAGAAAGCGUUGCAAGCUGUGAUUACACCUAAUGUGAGAGCAUGAACUAAUUUAAGAGGUGAGAGCUGCAUAAUGAGGCUGCCUCCCGUGUAGCAGCCAAGACUGGCAGCUCUGGCGGCGCGCUGGAGGGGACCGGGAGGGGCACCCUUGUAGAACCAGUCCCUGGCGCCCUGGGAUCUUCUCAGUGCCCUGGCGCUGUGUUGUCGGUCACUCCACAGAUAUUACAGGGUGCCUCCUGAAUGCCGGGUUGCAAUCAAGAGCAAGAGAUGGGGCGAGUGAAAGAGCCUGUUUUCAGGAGCUCAGCAUCAGGAUGACGAUUACCUAGAGGGAGGUGGUGGCCAGCCUCCCCCUCUUCUCUUCAUGCUGAGGCUCUGGUGGGCAGUGCCCAAGCCUGAACUGCCAUCUGUAUGCCAGUGGUUACCCAACUUGUAUUUUCAGUCUUAGCCUCUCUCUGGUCCAGACUUGUCAUUCUAAGGGCCCUUUUUCACUGACUCACAUUGUCUCCUCCCUCCCUGCCUUCCAAACUCAGCCUUUUCCUUUUUCCCUUUCCCACUGACAACAGCUGCACGACCCCCCCGCCCCCCCACGAGGUGAAAAUUCCCAAGAACCCCAUGUCUAACCUAACUCCCUCUCUAUGUCCUGUUGCUUGAGCCAUUCUCAUUAGGCUGCCUGUUCGGAGUUCAUUAUCUCCUAAUUUUUCAUCCAGGAAUUGAUGAAGAAUCACCUACUGCCUCUCCCACACACUGUUUAUUCUUUCAUUUGAUGAUAUCUGUUAAGUGCCCUGAGAUAUGUAACCUCCACUUCCCUCCCAUAUAAGUGAGAUUUCACGUUGAUUACUUCCUUGGCUUUCCUCAUCCCUUAUCCACAUAGCAUGUGUUCAAAAUAAUGAAUAUUAAUUUAAUGUUAAUAGAUAUGUGCUUUCCUGAAUUGUGAGGAUUAAAUGAAAUCAUGUAUAUAGGGAGGAAAAUCCAUUAGAAACCUCAAAAGCAGUUAUGUUUAUUUUUGCUAUUGUCACAUUGUUAGAGUCAGAAUUCUUUUAGCUGCAAGUGACAAAACCAACUCAAACUGGCUUAAGGACUUUAUUGGUUGAUGCAAAAAGCCUCGGGUUAGGUCUUGCCAUUUAAGGUAGGGCUGGAUCCAUCAAUCCGGGUUACCAGGAUCUGUUUUCUAGUUGUGGCUUCAUUUUCAGACAAGUUGUUUCCAUAUGAUAGCCUCAUAGAAGGUACUACCAGCUUAGUCCUAGCAAGAAAAAAGAGUACUUACUCUUCAAUAUUUGCAGCAGAAGUCCCAGGUCUGUUCUUAUGAGGGCAGUUUGAGUCACUUGCUCUUCUCUGAACGUGGAGAAGGCACUGUUUAGAUGAUGGAGGUUGGAUUCAGGUGCAUCCCCUGGAAUGGGGUUUGGCAUUAGCUUCACGUGGUCUAGAAUAAAGGGGUUCUCCAAAGGAAAAUUAGGGUAGGAAUGCUGAGUAAGCAGAACAAACAGAUGUCUACUUUAGUCCUUCCCAAAGGGUGAGCUGCAAUACAUUGCAGACUAUCAGAAUGGUGAUGAACACGGAUGCAGUAGCCAAGAAAAUAGAUGUGUGUUUGUCGUGGUCUUUUUCAGUCUUCAAGAUCUCAGUUAAACAUGAAGUCAACCACUCACUAUGAUGUUAUUUGAGGUUUAGCUUUGAAGUGGAAAUGUACCACAAAUAGUAGAGCCAGAUAAAUACAAAUAAAUAAUUUUAACAGUCCAUUCUAAAAGAUUUCUUUGGUAAUAUUCUGUUGGAAUUGAUUUCUAUCUUUUCAUUUGUUAGGUUCCUGGAAAGUGAAAAUUUCAUUUCUUUGUGGACAGGUACCUAAAAUGUCUCAUUAUUCAUCAAUUAAUGAAAAACAAAUGAAAAUUUGAGAGAGAUAUUCUGAAGAAUAAAAGGAUCAAGUUGGGUCAUUUCUAAAAUCUCAGAGACCUAAUAGGAUGGGGUCUUAGAGAAACAUCUUUUGAGCCACAGACUUCUUUGUUACCAGAAGGAAAAUGAAAGAAGAAAUUUAAAUACCACUUGAAGAGAGCUGAUCGCCACCAACUGGCCUCUGGGUGGAUUUGGCCAAUGGAAGCACCUGUAGAGGGAAGAGAGUGAGGUUAGGAUAUUUCUUCCUGCUGUCUCCGUGCUUCCCUGCAGAGAGUGUGAAGAAAUGACCCUGAAAAGCCUCUGGCAGAGGAUUCUUCUUUCAGGAUGGUGUCGCCUCCUCAGCAGCCCAUCCUCCUCCCCUGGACUCAAGCUCUCAUUCCAGUAACACUCCUUCCUCCUUCUCCAUCUUCAGGGGGAGGUUUGCCAGUCGGUGGGUUCUAAGCAUAUCUCGCUGAUUCCCCCCAACCCUGCCGACACCUCUGUAGGUCGUCCCUUCAUUAAAAUCUCUCCAUUUGAACUAUCUGAGUUUAAUUCCAUUUCCUCCUGGUAUCUCAGUGAUACACGGUAUCAGUACAAAAAUCUCGCUUCACCUUCAGAACCAACAGAUUUGAGACAUUUUAUCCUCUGUGGAACCAUUAGUUAUUUUGUCAUUGGUUGUAUCAGAAAAAAAAAUCAGGAAUGCAAAUCCUUCUUUAUUACAGAUUCAGAUUUGCAUAUUACCAAUGUUAUAUAUUUUAAACAAAACUAUUCAUCAUAAGUUUUAAAAAUUAACUACUGGAGUAGUUAAUGAAUCUGAAUGUAAUUAUGUAGCUUUCAUAAUAUUAAAGUAAAAAUACUAAAAGAAGUAUUUCUUAAAGAAGCAAAUGCUCAAUCUCCAAGUAAAUUUUAUUCUAUGCUCUUCCGGUAUAAGAAUAUGUUAAUAUCUUGAAAAAUAUCAUAUUAUUUUGUGAACUCAUAAAGCUAUUUUGAGUUUUUGUAAAAUGAAAACCUUACCAAAAUGUAUUUUAUUGUUGGAAAGCUUGACCGUUACUGCUGUUUAAUUUUUUGAGCUUGUAAACUUUAUUUGUGCAUGUUUUCAACAAAGAAGGAUUUUAUUGUUAUUACAUAAAACAGGUGAUUUCUAGAUUUUAAAAUCACAAAUUGAAAGCAAGGCACAAUAAUAUAUAUUUCAAGAUAUAGGUACUUAGGAGGCAUCCUUUUAGUCAUCUGUUCAAUGUAGCCAUCUAUUUUACACCUACUGUCUACUAUUGUUUGAGGUCCUUGCCAAAGUAUUGCAGGCUAGUUAGGAAACAUAAAACAAUUAGAAAGUAAUCUAUGACAAGUAAGCUAUCUAUAAAUGGCAAUGAAGGGUAGAACAAAUUCAAUGAAAAUAUCUAUUUAAUCCUAGUGUUUACUGGUCUAGAAGAAUAGGCUGAGUAAAUUAGUAUUUCUCUGGCUGUUGUGGUAACACAUUGCAUGCUAUAACAGUUUUAAGUAAUUACAGGUGCAUUGAAAUUUAUCUAUGGCUUUGUCAUCAUAUUCUAAAAUGUCAUGAGUACUUUUUUCUGACCUCAAUUACUAUGAAAUUGGUUUCCAAUAUUUAAUUAACCAAGAAUAUCAAGUCUAUAGGGUAUUAUUAAGGUGAGACUUCUGUAGCCUUUUCAAUAAAGACCAGAAUUUUGGAGUGCCUUGAACCUUAAUCAUUGAUCUUUAAUUCUUAUUAAGUCAACUGCCCACCUUUUAAAGACUGAGGCCCAGGAAGAGUAAGUUUCUCUGAGACAAUGCAUACAGUACAGUGCUUCUUGGGUAUUGGCUCUAAGACCAGAUGCAAAGAAAGGCUAAAAUCCCAUUUCAUUGUUCAUUAGGUGAGAACCCUUUGUUAAGCUGUGUAACCUCUGUGCAUAGUUUCCUCAUCAGCAAAGUCAGAAAAAGUAUGUACCUGAAGGACUGAUUGUAAGGCUGGGAUGAGAGAAUCCAUGUGAUCAGCCCUCACCAACAGGUGCUGCCCAGUUCAUGAGUGCUGCUGCUGUCCUGCCCAAGUACCCAGCUUGCAGAGUGCCAGAGUUAGAGUCCCAGGGGUGUUCUCCACAGCUGCAUGCUUGAUCCAGGCCUAUCAGAUAUAUUCCAUUGAAAGUCCUCAUUCUCAAAUUUAAAACAAAGACUUUUUGUGUACCUCAAUAGCAAUGCACACACAGUUGGCUUCACAAACAUAUUGUACAUUUCUUUUUUUCAUAUUUAUUCAACAAAUGUAUAUUGACUACCCACCGUGUGACAGGUGUUAUUUGUUGACGGAACCAGGCAUCAUCAGCAAACAAAACUGACAAAGCUUCCUGCCCUCUGUGGAAGGCAUCUGAGGAAGAGACUGGAUUUUGUAGCAACAUGUUAUUCUCAUUAUAAACUUUAUCAUUGGAAUACUAAAGCCAAAUCAUCCCCCAUCUCCUUGAUCAGGAUACCCACUUAAUCUAGGCAGCUACACAAUUGUGAGAGCCUUUGUUUUUUUCUGCUGAAACAUCCUUAAAAAGAUACCUCACAACCCAAGAUUUGGCUUUUCUUAAAUACGAUUUUUAAUUUUUUUCAUUUCUAUCUAGAGAUUUAAUUGGAAAUGGAAAAUCAUCAAUUUUCCAAUUAAAUGUCUGUUCCAAUCAACAUUAUACCUUUUAGGUUGUCAUUGUCAUUUUUAAGUUUAAGCAACUUUAAGGAUUUUGAAUCUGGCUGCCUGUAAAUUAAAGGUGAAAGUAAUCA
rnacentral:lncRNA from 1 species